GACCCUACGGGGGGCAGCAGUGGGGAAUUUUGGACAAUGGGCGCAAGCCUGAUCCAGCUAUUCCGCGUGUGGGAUGAAGGCCCUCGGGUUGUAAACCACUUUUGUAGAGAACGAAAAGACACCUUCGAAUAAAGGGUGUUGCUGACGGUACUCUAAGAAUAAGCACCGGCUAACUCCGUGCCAGCAGCCGCGGUAAUACGGAGGGUGCGAGCGUUAAUCGGAAUCACUGGGCGUAAAGCGCGCGUAGGCGGCUUUUCAAGUCAGGGGUGAAAUCCCACGGCCCAACCGUGGAACUGCCUUUGAAA
rnacentral:rRNA from 1 species